UUACACAGGCACCUAACUGCAUAACAUGGUCUCAGAAGAUAAACAACUUAAAUGAAUAACCAAUAAUUCUACCUUUCGGCUGUAUUAGGCAGUUAAGUAAUUUAGUUCUGGAAGACAUAUUGCUUUAUGUAAUGGUGUUAAGGUGGCUCAGUGUUUAAAAAAUGCUUAGGUUGUUGUUAGUGCAUUAUGUGCCAUGUGUACUGGUCAGUAUUAGUGCUCCCUGUUCAGGAUUGUAGCUCGCUUCUUCUCUCACUGUGCAAUGUAAUCACUCUCUACAGAAUGACUCUCCAUUUCCCCGACCUCUGCUAUCAGCCCAGUGUGGGUACAUACACUGCACUGAUUCCAGGGUGUUUGUGUGUGUCUGUAUGUGUGUUCAGGGGAACAGUGAUAAGUGGUGGGAGUAAGUCACCCAUCUGUGUGAGGUAGUGGUGUGGGACACAGUGAACAGUAAGCUGAAGUCCUGCUGGAUCACCAGUCUGAUGCCAAAUAGAGGGCUCACACAUAGGAAGAGAUGAUGUUGUUAUCAGUCGAGCCCAGGUAUAAGGGACCAGCGAGAGAGAGAUACAUAGAUAUAUGAUUGUUUAAAAUGUUCUGGUUUUCUAAAGCAUUUGGAAGCAAUUGUGUUUUUGUGAUGACUAACAAGGAAGGAGCUGUGUGAGGAGAUGUUGGGAAAAUGAGAACGGUCACAUUUGACAUCAUUCUGACCUUAUUUAUGACUUGACCUAUGGAACACUGGACUGGUUCUAGUCUUAGAGACCCUCACAUCAACGAUCAUUCCUGUUUAGACUUCACAGAGAGAUGAAAAGACUGUUGCAAGUGAUCUGGUUUGAAAAUUAGCUUGAGGCUAUGAGUUCCAGUAAGUAGAGCACGUCUUGCUCCAAUAUGACUAAAAUACUGUUUCCACUGUCUGUCUGUAUGUUUGUCUGUCAGGGGAGGGCUAUGCUUGUUGAUCCAGAGAGGUGGGCAUGUUCCUUGGUGGGUAAGGCAAAUCGCUUGACUUUGGUAUGAGAGUAGCAUUCCUGAUUCCUGUUCAACUGAGAGACAGGCAUGAGGAGGGAGGGAGAUAGAGAGAGAGAUAGUUUCCCUCAGAUUACACAGACCCACAAAGAAUUCAAAAAUAAAUCAAAUUUUGAUAAACUCCCAUAUCUAUUGGGUGAAAUACCACAGUGUGCAACAGAGCAGCAAGAUUUAUGACCUGUUGCCACGAGAAAAGGGCGACCAGUGAAGAACAAACACCAUUGUAAAUACAACUUAUAGUUAGUUAUGUUUAUUUAUUUUCCCUUUUGUACUUUAUCUAUUUGCACAUCAUUACAACACUGUAUAUAUACAUAAUAUGACAUUUGACAUGUCUUUAUCUUUUUGGAACUUUUGUAAAUGUAAUAUUUACUGUAAAUAUUUUAUUGUUUAUUUCACUUUUGUUUAUUAUCUAUUUCACUUGCUUUGGCAGUGUAAACAUAUGUUUCCCAUGCCAAUAGAGCCCAUAAACUGAAUUGAAUUGAAUUGUUAGAAAGAGAGAGAGAGAUGGAGGGGAAGCCAGGGAUUAGAAAGGAAGUAAUGUUCAUUUAAAAGUGUGCUUCUCAGUUCUGGGCAUGCUCAGUGGGGCUUGGCUCUGCUCUACCAGCUCCAGCCUCUACAUUUGAACAGGAGGGAGGUGAGGUGACUGUGUCCGAGCAGACUUUAGUGCCACACACUCUCUGUCUCUGUCAGGCUCUCUCGCUGCACAGCUCUCUCUUUUUGUGUUCUUUGACCCUUUUUUUUGGUGUUCAGAGACGGCUGAGGGAGGAAGACAGCUUCAACUAGACAAAACAACUGAAAGAAGAAAGAAAAUGAAGAGAAGGAAAAUGAACUGACUUUGCCUCAGAAACAGUGGAUCUGGAGGGACUAACUUCAAAAGAAAGGCAAGAGGGAGCUGGUGUGAAAUACGAGCAGGAAGGAGAGAUGAGAAACAUGAGGUCUUCUGUUAAGGAACCAGAGACAGUAUCCACAGAAGCCAUGAGCGGAAGAGAGCAGCCUCACAAGAUCAUUAGCACCACUUCUGGACUAUGUUGUACUCUAGAGGCUGUGGACUGAGCAGAGACUGAGAGAGAGACGAGUGGAGGCCGUGGCUGUCAGGUGCAUGAUGGGAAGUGGGCUGGCAGGGGACAGCAGUGUGGUGGAGGACCAGAAUCAAUUGGCAGUGUAAUGAGAUGGCGAUGCGCCAGGUUGCCAUGGAGCUCACUUGGGCUGUCCUUCACUGGAGGAUUUGUAAAUGAGAGAGAGAGAGAGAGAGAGAGAAAGGCCGAGAGAGCGGUAAAGGGAAGAAGAAAGGCCGAGAGAGAGGUAAAGAGAUGAAGAAAGGCAGAGAGAAAAAGAGAGGAGGACUGAGAUAGUGGGAAACGGGCUGUGUAUAGUGAAAUUAAAGCCUGUUCGGGGUUGAGAGGGUUGUUAUGCAGGAGAGAUGAAGAAUGAGUUAAAGAGAAAUAAAAAUACUACAGUAAGAAUCUGUGUGUGUUCUGAUGCUCUUAUCCCAACGGCUUGAACUGUUUGCCCUUGAAUUGCUUUUGGGCAUACUGAAUUUGUAUUUUUAUACCUAAUCUGAUGUUCAGAAAGAAAAGAAAGGAACCUACCUUGUCUGCCAGUAUUGAUUUCUUUCCCCUGUUCCUUCUCUCUUGCCAAAAGCAUAGCUGCUUUCUCUUCCAACGGAAUGGAAUUAGUCUGUUUGAUUUCAAUGUAAAUGCACACAUCGCUUCAUCAUGUUGACGUGUCAAUCAGCGGCUGCUAUGCAAUAUGUGAGAGAGCAGUUUGUGUCACAACAUUGUCACUACCACAACAAAAUAGAACUUUGUUUUGGUAUUGACAGUUUCGGGUGUGACAAUUAAUACCUCUUUUCCAAUUUUCCAAAUAACUGUUGCUAAUACAUUAUAUGGUCGACACUAUUUGUGACAGCUGAUGACAACUGCCAUGUAUAAAUGGAAUUUGUUAUCCGCUUAUGCUCACUGUCUUCGAACACUUAUUUUAGCCCUUGACUUUAAUAGUCUGUUGGCCACUGCAUUGGCAGGAUAUAUUUUUGUUGUGUUUCUGCACACACACACACACACACACACACACACACACACACACACACACACACACACACACACACCUAAAGCUCAUUACAGUUGCCCUCUGCUACUGUACCUGUCAAUCCAUAUUGGGCCAUAACACUUCCUGGUGUUAUCAAGCACCACUUCUGUGAUUGUACAGAACUGAUACUUUACAUUACUCUCAUUGAUGCUCUGUCUCCUCCUCCCCCUCCCUUCCACCUCCUCCUCCUCUUCCUCCUAGAUAUAGGUCAUAGCAGCUAGCUAAUAUGGCCGACAACAUUUGUUGCCAGUGAGUGUUUUUUUCGCUCUCUCCUGACUAGCAACUACAGCUAAUGCCGGGCUUGCUAAGUAGAGAGGGAGGGCUGUGAAAGGACAGACUGUCGGCGGUGGCAGUCGCCCGCAACACCAGCUGUGCCCUCUCCCACUGGGCACUGACGCUCAUUUGGGCCAGGUCAUCUAGGGACACAGAGAGAGAGAGAGGUAAAGAGACACAGAUGGAGGGAGCAGAGAGGGAAAGCUGACUGACUGACUCCCUGUAGAAAAGGCAGGGGCGGGAAGGGAGGUUAGCAUCCUGGUUCUGAAUCUGUGGGUUUGGAUGUGCGUCUGCCUCUGGCCUGUGUGCCACAGGGCUGGACAGACAGACAGCCAGGCAAUGGCGAUAGAACAGAUCUAACAGUCACUGGAGAACAAAAGCACACUUCAUCCCUCUGCAUCCUUCCAUACAUUGGCUCAUAUGGCCUUCUCCAGCUUGGCUGGGGUCCGAUCAUCCUCUUAGUGGUGUCCUGUCUCCAUUCCAGACGGACACAUUCCUCAGACGUUGAUGACGAUCCCAGAUAACAAUCAUAAACUCAUGAGGAGAAUUUUAGACUAUACUAAUCAAUGCCAACUCAUGCUAAUUGACAUCCCUGGGGUGAGCGAUUGUGGCUUGGAAAACUUUUGGCGCUGCUGUGUGGAUUAAUGCAAGGCAUUGGUGGAGGGCUGCCGCAGUAGUGCGUGAGUGGAAUAUCAGAGAGAGCGAGAGGGGCAGAAGAGGGAGAGGGCGGACAUUUGGAAGGGGUGGGACACAGUGUCUUACUGUAAUUGAACAUGAAGACAAUCACUCAUAGGCUGCAUGCACUCAUCGCUUAUUUAUUUUAAUGCACAUGUAACACCAUUUCCCCUCCACCCUUCAUUAGAAUUGAGCAUGCAGAACACUGUGAAUGCUGGUUGCUGGUUCACGUUUAUUUCUAAUGGGUAUUCUUCAGUGUGUUCUGUUGUUGUCAUAGAAUUAGGAAUGAGUCAUUUAAUAGGACCUCUUUGGUUGUUGUGCUCCAUUUGCUGGCUGUGUGUGAAUCCCCUCAAGUAAACACUGUGCCGGCUAGCUGUCUGUUUGUCUGUCUGGCAGCCUGGGGUAUGCCCAUGUCAGGGUGUCAGCGUCAGGUUAUUGAAGGGGAAGCGGAGGCUAGGAUUCAGAGAAGUCGGUAACACUUUACUUAACGCCUAUAUGCAGUAUGAUAUGGUCGUAAUGGUUGUGAUACAUUAUAAGACUUGUCCUAAGCAUUCAUAACCCCCUUAUAGUGUCUUAUAAUCAUCUGAUAAUGAUCCUGACUAAAUACCAGCCAUUGUAGAAAUACAUUGAUACAUAGAAAGACAUUAUAUGCCUUGAUAUAACACAUGUUAAAGGCUCAUACAUGCUAAUAACAAGUUAAUAAGCAUUUGUGUGUGUGUGUGUGUGUGUGUGUGUGUGUGUGUGUGUGUGUGUGUGUGUGUGUGUGUGUGUGUGUGUGUGUGUGUGUGUGUGUGUGUGUGUGUGUGUGUGUGUGUGUUGUCUGAACACUGAUAGUGAUAGCCCACACUCGAUAACAGUGCAAGGCAACUAAUACUUUAUGCCAUCAUUGUUUUUUCCUGACGGCUUAUUUUGGGUUUGUCGCUCGUGAUUUAUAUGUGUGUGCAUUGCUCAGUGCUAUAUUUAUUUAUUCACCUCAGAUCGUUAGAUGUGCUACAACAUGGAUGUAAUCCAGUGAUAUACUGUACAGCACAGUGACACAUGCACUAUAACCUGAACCAUACUGUAUGGGAGCUCAAAUGGAGAAAGUGGAUUCCUUUUUCAUUGAAAUAGAUAUCGGCAGUGUGUGUUUAGUUUAGUUCAGAAUAGCAGGAGGACACAUGGGUUAGCAGUAGUAGUGACAUUGUAUCUGGAGCUACUUCCAGACUGUGGGGGGAACGCUUUGCAUCUAUGUGAAGGGAUCUGCUACAGUAAUGAUAGCCAAGCUGCCAAAAGGACUUCUUCUUUUCUAUCAGUCUGGGGCCAAAGCGAACUGCAGAUUGGGUAUUUAUUUUUGGUGCAGGGAAGUCUUCCAAGAGUGUGUGUGUGUGUGUGUGUGUGCGCAUGUGUGUAUGUGUGCGCAUGUGUCUGCCCAUGUGGUUGUGUGCGUGUCUAUGCUUGUGUGUGUGUUUGUUGGGAGGUGUGGGGGAACGGCAGAGGUGUGUGUGUGUUGGGGGGAGGACUGUGGUGUACCUGGGCUCUCUCUCUCUCUCGAGAUGGGAAAGAGAAGCUUUAGCGGAAGGGGAGAGGUUAAAGAGGUGAAGGGGCUGGGGCACAACUCCAUUUUCCCUUUCGACGAAUUUCCACAGUCUCUUCUUUCUUUCGCUUUUAUUCAACAGAGUGAGGCAGUGAAAGAGAGCAAUAGAGAGAGAGAGAGAGAGAGAGAGAGAGCGAGAACGAGAGAGAUGGAGAGAGUGAAAGAGAGAAUCAAGACCAUUUUUUUAAGAGUCGAUCUUGGCUUUCUUACAAACAGAUGUUGCCUGUCAUUUGGCCGUUAAGCAGGCACUCGGUUAGUAGAACACAGAGGUUUUACUGGCUGAAAAUAUUCGUUCUUUCUUAUUUAUCGUUUCAUUAUCAUGAUGAAAAUCGAACUCUUAUAAACAGGGAAAUCUAUCUUUGUUAUUUCGUUUUUUGUCUUUUAGUUCUCUCUCAGCCAGCUUUCCUUUCCUUCCUCUUCCUUCCUCUCUCUGCCUAUUUUUCUUUGUCUCACUUUUUCUCUCUUUUCUAUUGCCUUUUUGAUGGGUUCGUUAGUUGCAUGUUUGUGUUUUGUUUCCUUGUGGGUCACAGUGGACCUUCUGCCAAGUGCUGUAGGCGCCCUGAGUAGAGAGAGAAAACAUUUGGAAACAAUAAAAAGACAAUCGGUAAGUCAUUAUUAACAUGCUUUCAAGCUCGCUGGUGCUUCUUCCUCGUCUUCCAGCUUUCUCUCUCUCUCUCUCACUCUCAUAUAGUUUCUCCAACCUCACUGUUUCAACCGUAGCUAUAACUUUAUUUUUUUGUGGUGUUUCCACUUUUCAGUGUAGCGAUAGGGCCUACCUGUUCCUGGCUGUACGUUUUGUUUGCAUUUCUAGGCAUUUCGAUGACGUGUCCCAUACCUACCUCUUUUUUAAUCUCCCUGCGUUUCAGAUUGUCUUAGUGUUGUUGUGUUUGCUUGCUGUCGAGCGAUGGUGGUGGUGGCUGUAGCGAUCCCAGGGUCUGUGCUCUGUGCUCUGUUCUGUCUCUCUGAGAGUGUGUUCACGGUAGCGCCCUGGUGCAUUUAACCUCUCCACCCCCAUGCAGGGGCGAGGGGCUCUGCUCCACUGGGUCUGAUACUAGGGCUUCUAGGGUGUGGUUGGCCCCCGCUGCCCCUUUUGUCCCACUAUUCUCAAGGUGUCUUUUAACUUCUUGGCACAGCCCCACUAACACAGUUUGAACAACUUGGCAGCAGCUUCAAAGUCAAAUCUGUUGAUUUCAACUCAAGUGGAGGGAAACAAGAAAGAAACCAACUUUGGGCUCUGAAAGUUCAAAUUGACUUCUUCUUUUAGGCCACUUGUCACUUCACAGUAACACAUACAAUUAUCUGCUAAAAUAUCUAUCUUACAUCAUCUUAUUGAUCAAAAUGAGGUUUCCCAUAUGGUAUUUUUAUCUAUGAAGAAGUGGAUGGAUUAUCUUAACAAUUUCAGAACGGUAGAAAACCAAUGCAUGACGUGAAGCAUGCAAUUCCAUUUCGAUACAUUGAAGUCUAUUCAAUUCACGUUGCACCUCGAAGAAUUUCUCUUUUGAUUUGUUAACUAUAUACAAGCAAUGAUUCCACUAUAUUUCUUCAAUGUGAUUUGUGUAGGUGGUAGAAAAAUGGGUCAACACACUGAUACACCUGGAGUGAGGCAUUUAAUCUUAAGCUUUGUAGUGUUCGUGUGAUUCAAUGAAUAACUGUUUCCUGGGGAUGUGCUCUCACUGCUUUGAGCAGGCCGGUAAAAUAAACAGCAGACUGGUUUGUGGGACUCAAAGUCUAAAGAACAAGUAAUGAAAUAUCCUAAAUAUGGAUAUUGGAGAUGACUGCAGUUAGCCCUCUUUGAAAUAUAAUGUCAUUUAUACACAAACAGCAGUACCUCUUUAAAGGAGUUUUUCGAUCGCAGCAAUACUAUUUUGUCUUCCUCCACUUAGUUCAGUUAACAACAAUACAUUUUAGAAAGGCAAUGUUAAUUAUCCCCAAAUGACAGAAAUGAUUAUGAAACACAAUCAUCAAAGACACCUUGUUCACAAUCACAACGACUCGUCAAGAUAAACUUCAAAUUCAAUCAAAUUAAUUCAAUCAAAUUCAAAUCAAAUGAGUUGAUUUACUAAAUUCAUUCUCUGCCCAUGUAGGAUGUGGACAACUCAAAUCUGCAUAGUUUAUGGCUUAUAUUAGGUUGGGAGUGUCCAAUUUGAUCAGUUCCCUAAAAAGCUAUGUAUUUGUAGUAAAUCCUCACAAGAGAUGUGUUGCUCUGUUGUUUUACUGCUAUCAAUGCAAUUGAAUUGAGUUACUUUGAUUGCUAGGUUACACAUGAUUUUCUGUGAAGAUACUGUACUGAACAAGAGGCUUUUUGAGACUACAUCUAUGCCCAAGUACUUGUUUGAUCAAUUAGUCUGAUUUGUAGUUAUCUUAUGUAGACAUUUUCUUUAGGUUUUAGUGUUGUAUGAAAACAGACAAUUAGAAUCUAUCGCUAGAAAUAUGAACUAGUAACGGUCUUUAUUGCAAAGGAGGGUUGGAUUUUUGAGGUGUUGGACUUUUCCAAGUAGGUGAUACAACAUAGUUAGAAGCAAUGCUUGUAAGCCUUAGUGCUAUCUGGGAUCAGUCUUAGUGAUAACACUGAGCUGCGUGCUUGUAAUUUAAGAAGAAGAAGCCUGAAUGAUGUUUUACCGGAUUGGGUUAGAACGACGGUCACUUUUUUAAAUUUGCGUAAAGUAUCUAUUUCUGAAUUAGUGGUUUGGAGUGCUUUGAGAAUCUAUUCAUAGCAGAAAAGGGUACUUUUGAACAUACAUUUUUUGGAGGUGAAACUCCAUUCAAAUAUCACACAUCCUCUCACACAUCCUCUCAAGGUUUUAUUAUGAUUUACUCCAUUUUCAGUUCGGCACUCAAUGUGUAAGCCCAGAGUGACACUUGAGCAAUAAGCAAGUCAUUCCUUUAGAACUGCAAUGUAUUUUCACUAUCUAUGUACCUAGUAUGAAAACCUCAGUUUAAGCAAAUGUGUUUAAAAGUAAUCAUUGACCAAUAGAUAUUGAGUACUGUAAUUGUUUACUUAGGAUCAAAUUCGGAUCAAAUAGGAUUUUGUGUGAUUAGACUUUUCUAAGUAAUUAUUUUUCCAGGUGAUGUGGCAGCCUUACUGUAUCCUAAAACAUCUUCUACACUACAUAAUAAACUUGUCAUUGGAAACACUGAUAAUCCAUUUCAUAAUAUUGUCCUAAUAUUCUCUUAAACUUAAAGAGGAGACUAUAUUCACUGAAGUCACUAUUGUAACCUCAUUCAUAACAAUUACAAAUAUAAUUUAUUGUAAUUUCCAUGACACUGUUGCAAGAUUAUAUGUUAAAUAGUAGUUAAUAAAUGGGUAAUAAAUUUCGUCAUAUUUAUUAAAUUAAAUUUAAAAAUACUGGAUGAUAAAACAAUUUGCAUAUCACCUUUUGCCAUUGAUAAAGGUGUAGAUAAGCCUGCUAACUUGUAUUAUUAUUAUUAUUGCCCCAAGGUAUUUCCUCCUUGUAGAUACGAUUAGUCACCAUAUCAAGCUUAUCUGUGAGAAUAUUAUUUUGAUAAUAAGUGGUUUCAUUGUGUUAUUAGGUAUUGUAUACUCUUGACUCCUUACUGUAGAUUGACCCAACGUAUGGAUGGAAGAAACCUGCCCACAGCCACAAA